GGUUCCGUUGUGAAAGGCGCUGCAAGGCGCCACUAAAAGAUGAGGGUGCGGAACAUUAGUUAGUUGGUGAGGUAAUGGCCCACCAAGACUAUGAUGUUUAGCCGGGUCGAGAGACUGAACGGCCACAUUGGGACUGAGAUACGGCCCAAACUCCUACGGGAGGCAGCAGUAGGGAAUAUUCCACAAUGAGCGAAAGCUUGAUGGAGCGACACAGCGUGCACGAUGAAGGUCUUCGGAUUGUAAAGUGCUGUUAUAAGGGAAGAACAUUUGCAAUAGGAAAUGAUUGCAGACUGACGGUACCA
rnacentral:rRNA from 1 species